GACGAACGCUGGCGGCGUGCUUAACACAUGCAAGUCGAACGGAAAGGCCCUGCUUUUGUGGGGUGCUCGAGUGGCGAACGGGUGAGUAACACGUGAGUAACCUGCCCUUGACUUUGGGAUAACUUCAGGCAACUGGGGCUAAUACCGGCUAGGAGCUCCUGCUGCAUGGUGGGGGUUGGAAAGUUUCGGCGGUUGGGGAUGGACUCGCGGCUUAUCAGCUUGUUGGUGGGGUAGUGGCUUACCAAGGCUUUGACGGGUAGCCGGCCUGAGAGGGUGACCGGCCACAUUGGGACUGAGAUACGGCCCAGACUCCUACGGGAGGCAGCAGUGGGGAAUAUUACACAAUGGGCGGAAGCCUGAUGCAGCAACGCCGCGUGCGGGAUGACGGCCUUCGGGUUGUAAACCGCUUUCGCCUGUGACGAAGCGUGAGUGACGGUAAUGGGUAAAGAAGCACCGGCUAACUACGUG
rnacentral:rRNA from 1 species